GAUGAACGCUAGCUACAGGCUUAACACAUGCAAGUCGAGGGGCAGCAUGGGAGUUGCUUGCAACUUCUGAUGGCGACCGGCAAACGGGUGAGUAACGCGUAGGCAAUCUGCCGCAAAGUUGGGGACAACAGCUCGAAAGGGUUGCUAAUACCGAAUGUUAUAACUUUUUCGCAUGGAGAGGUUAUUAAAGAUUUAUCGCUUUGCGAGGAGCCUGCGUCCGAUUAGGUAGUUGGUAAGGUAACGGCUUACCAAGCCGACGAUCGGUAACCGGUCUGAGAGGAUGAACGGUCACAUUGGAACUGAGACACGGUCCAGACUCC
rnacentral:rRNA from 1 species